rfam:Macleaya cordata isolate BLH2017 scaffold1321, whole genome shotgun sequence.
AAAGAAAAAUGUAGCCAAAGACAACUUGCCAACUUCUUCUUAAUUUGCAAAUUAACCCUUUUUUGAUGAUGAAGAGAGGUGUUGAAUAAGCAAAAUCAUCUAUAAAAUUAAAACUUGUUUGUCGGCAAGUCAUCCUUGGCUGCAUAAUACUUUCU